rnacentral:rRNA from 1 species
UGGGGAAUAUUGCACAAUGGGCGCAAGCCUGAUGCAGCAACGCCGCGUGAACGAUGAAGGUCUUCGGAUCGUAAAGUUCUGUUGCAGGGGAAGAUAAUUACGGUACCCUGUGAGGAAGCCCCGGCUAACUACGUGCCAGCAGCCGCGGUAAUACGUAGGGGGCUAGCGUUAUCCGGAUUUACUGGGCGUAAAGGGUGCGUAGGUGGUCUUUCAAGUCGGUGGUUAAAGGCUACGGCGCAACCGUAGUUAGCCUCCGAAACUGGAAGACUUGAGUGCAGGAGAGGAAAGUGGAAUUCCCAGUGUAGCGGUGAAAUGCGUAGAUAUUGGGAGGAACACCAGUAGCGAAGGCGGCUUUCUGGACUGCAACUGACACUGAGGCACGAAAGCGUGGGUAGCAAACAGG